UUUUGUAGUGUGAAAGUAGCUUCCAUUUCACAUCCAUUAGUAGAACAGGAGCUCUUUCCUUAUGCUUCCCAGGUUGCCAGCUGUAUGGACAGGCUAUUUCCUGGAGGAAGAAUGGUGGAAGAGGAAAAAGCAAAGGAAGCUCAUGUAAGAGCAGAUAUUGAAGAAAGAUUGAGUUCUACUUUAUCAGCUAUGAGCCUGGAACUUAAAAAGUGCACAGAAAUUCAAGGUGUAGUUCAUUUUUUGGAGAAUAAAGUGGAGCAUAGGGUAUGUUUUCUGUAUUUUUAU